rnacentral:rRNA from 1 species
GAUGAACGCUAGCUACAGGCCUAACACAUGCAAGUCGAGGGGCAGCGGGAAGGAAGCUUGCUUUCUUCGCCGGCGACCGGCGCACGGGUGCGUAACGCGUAUCGAACCUACCCUUUACUCGGGAACAGCCUUCCGAAAGGAAGAUUAAUACCGCAUAAGAUUGUAAUGCCGCAUGGCAUAGCAAUUAAAGGAGCAAUCCGCUAUGAGAUGGACCCGCGUCGCAUUAGCUUGUUGGCGGGGUAACGGCCCACCAAGGCGACGAUGGGUAGGGGUUCUGAGAGGAAGGUCCCCCACAUUGGAACUGAGACACGGUCCAAACUCCUACGGGAGGCAGCAGUGAGGAAUAUUGGUCAAUGGGCGAAAGCCUGAACCAGCCAAGUAGCGUGCAGGAAGACGGCCCUCUGGGUUGUAAACUGCUUUUAGUCGGGAAUAAAAUGCGGCACGUGUGCCGCUUUGCAUGUACCGUCAGAAAAAGGACCGGCUAAUUCCGUG